CCAGGACACCACAUUACAUUUAGUCGUUGUGUCUCCUUAGGCUACUCUCGACUGUGACAGUUUCUCAGACAUCCCUUAUUUUUGCUGACCUUGACCAUUUUGUAAAGUACUGGAAGCUGUACUGUCAUAUGUCCUCAGACAGUGAUCAAAAUGCUCCUUAUCUCAUUCAAUCCUCAUGGCUCCCUUCAAGAUAUCACCUCCAUUUGACAUUCAAGUACCCUGAGGCUUGGAGGUGGUCAGCAGUUUGCUCAUGGACACAGAUG